GUGAGUCAUCGAAUCUUUGAACGCACAUUGCGCCCUUUGGUAUUCCGAAGGGCAUGCCUGUUCGAGCGUCAUUAUCACCCCUCAAGCCCCGUGCUUGGUGUUGGACGGCCGGUCGAGCGAUCGACCCCUCCGAAAGACAAUGACGGCGGCCUGUGGUUCCCCCGGUACACUGAGCUUUUCACCGAGCACGUAUCGGACAAGGGCGCCCGGGACCCGGUCCCCUCCUUUCACAAGGAAACUUUUCAAGGUUGACCUCGGAUCAGGUAGGAAUACGCGCUGAACUUAAGCAUAUCAAUAAGCGGAGGA
rnacentral:misc_RNA from 1 species